rnacentral:rRNA from 1 species
AUUGAACGCUGGCGGCAUGCCUUACACAUGCAAGUCGAACGGUAACAGGUCUUCGGAUGCUGACGAGUGGCGAACGGGUGAGUAAUACAUCGGAACGUGCCUAGUAGUGGGGGAUAACUACUCGAAAGAGUGGCUAAUACCGCAUGCGAUCUACGGAUGAAAGCAGGGGAUCGCAAGACCUUGUGCUACUAGAGCGGCCGAUGGCAGAGUAGGUAGUUGGUGGGAUAAAAGCUUACCAAGCCGACGAUCUGUAGCUGGUCUGAGAGGACGAUCAGCCACACUGGGACUGAGACACGGCCCAGACUCCUACGGGAGGCAGCAGUGGGGAAUUUUGGACAAUGGGCGAAAGCCUGAUCCAGCAAUGCCGCGUGCAGGAUGAAGGCCUUCGGGUUGUAAACUGCUUUUGUACGGAACGAAAAGCCCUGGGUUAACACCCUGGGGUCAUGACGGUACCGUAAGAAUAAGCACCGGCUAACUACGUGCCAGCCGCCGCCGUAA